rnacentral:piRNA from 1 species
GUUGCUUGGGUCUGGUAGGAGUU